rnacentral:rRNA from 1 species
CGAACGGGUGAGUAAUGCGUGACCAACCUGCCCCAUGCUCCAGAAUAGCUCUUGGAAACGGGUGGUAAUGCUGGAUGCUCCAACUUGACGCAUGUCUUGUUGGGAAAGUGUUUAGUGGCAUGGGAUGGGGUCGCGUCCUAUCAGCUUGUAGGCUGGGUAAUGGCCCACCUAGGCUUCGACGGGUAGCCGGCCUGAGAGGGCGGACGGCCACAUUGGGACUGAGAUACGGCCCAGACUCCUACGGGAGGCAGCAGUU